rnacentral:rRNA from 1 species
UACGUAGGGUGCGAGCGUUAAUCGGAAUUACUGGGCGUAAAGCGUGCGCAGGCGGUUUUGUAAGCCAGAUGUGAAAUCCCCGGGCUUAACCUGGGAAUGGCAUUUGGGACUGCAAGGCUCGAGUGCGGCAGAGGAGACUGGAAUUCCUGGUGUAAGCGGUGAAAUGCGCAGAUAUCAGGAAGAACACCAAUGGCGAAGGCAGCUCGCUGGGACGGUACUGACGCUGAGGCGCGAAAGCAUGGGGAGCGAACAGG